rnacentral:rRNA from 1 species
AUUGAACGCUGGCGGCAUGCCUUACACAUGCAAGUCGAACGGUAACGGGCCUUCGGGUGCCGACGAGUGGCGAACGGGUGAGUAAUGCAUCGGAACGUACCUUUCAGUGGGGGAUAACGUAGCGAAAGUUACGCUAAUACCGCAUAUUCUGUGAGCAGGAAAGCAGGGGAUCGCAAGACCUUGCGCUGAUUGAGCGGCCGAUGUCAGAUUAGCUGGUUGGUGAGGUAAAGGCUCACCAAGGCGACGAUCUGUAGCGGGUCUGAGAGGAUGAUCCGCCACACUGGGACUGAGACACGGCCCAGACUCCUACGGGAGGCAGCAGUGGGGAAUUUUGGACAAUGGGGGCAACCCUGAUCCAGCCAUGCCGCGUGAGUGAAGAAGGCCUUCGGGUUGUAAAGCUCUUAAGGCCGGGAAGAAAUCGCACAGGAGAAUACCUUGUGUGGAUGACGGUACCGGAAUAAGAAGCACCGGCUAACUACGUGCCAGCCGCCGCGGUAACAC